ACUUUAGCGGCGAAUGGGUGAGUAACACGUGCUUAAUCUACCUUUUAGAUUGGAAUACCCAAUGGAAACAUUGGUUAAUGCCGGAUACGCAUAGAAUCGCAUGAUUCUGUUGUGAAAGAAGCGUUUGCUUCACUAAGAGAUGAGGGUGCGGAACAUUAGCUUGUUGGUGAGGUAAUGGCCCACCAAGGCUAUGAUGUUUAGCCGGGUCGAGAGACUGAACGGCCACAUUGGGACUGAGAUACGGCCCAAANUCCUACGGGAGGCAGCAGUAGGGAAUAUUCCACAAUGAGCGAAAGCUUGAUGGAGCGACACAGCGUGCAUGAUGACGGUCUUCGGAUUGUAAAGUGCUGUUAUAAGGGAAGAACACUUAGUUGAGGAAAUGCUUCUAAGCUGACGGUACCUUAUUAGAAAGCGAUGGCUAACUAUGUGCCAGCAGCCGCGGUAAUACAUAGGUCGCAAGCGUUAUCCGGAAUUAUUGGGCGUAAAGCGUUCGUAGGCUGUUUAUUAAGUCUGAAGUCAAAUCCCAGGGCUCAACCCUGGUUCGCUUUGGAUACUGGUAAACUAGAGUUGGAUAGAGGUAAGCGGAAUUCCAUGUGAAGCGGUGAAAUGCGUAGAUAUAUGGAAGAACACCAAAGGCGAAGGCAGCUUACUGGGUCUAUACUGACGUUGAGGGACGAAAGCGUGGGGAGCAAACAGGAUUAGAUACCCUGGUAGUCCACGCCGUAAACGAUGAUCAUUAGUCGGUGGAGAAUCACUGACGCAGCUAACGCAUUAAAUGAUCCGCCUGAGUAGUAUGCUCGCAAGAGUGAAACUUAAAGGAAUAGACGGGGACCCGCACAAGCGGUGGAGCAUGUGGUUUAAUUUGAAGAUACACGGAGAACCUUACCCACUCUUGA
rnacentral:rRNA from 2 species